rfam:Enterococcus sp. HSIEG1 chromosome, whole genome shotgun sequence.
GCGAAACGAGAUAAGUUCUAAUGAAUAGCACAAAAGCCCAACCUAUUGCGAGUAGGUCGGGCUU